UACGUAGGGGGCAAGCGUUGUCCGGAAUCAUUGGGCGUAAAGAGCGUGUAGGCGGCCCGAUAAGUCCGUUGUGAAAGCUUGGGGCUCAACCCCAAGUCUGCAGUGGAUACGGGCAGACUAGAGUCAGGUAGGGGAGAGCGGAAUUCUCGGUGUAGAGGUGAAAUUCGUAGAUAUCGAGAGGAACACCGGUGGCGAAGGCGGCCUUCUGGACAGUGACUGACGCUGAGACGCGAAAGCGUGGGGAGCAAACAGG
rnacentral:rRNA from 1 species